rnacentral:lncRNA from 1 species
CUUUGUAGAUUUACAAAGACGUCUACACUUAUUAUCUAACAACAAAAAUUUCUAGUUGGCUCUGACUUGAUACACAAAGGCGUACAAAGUGUGUCUUAGCUAACUCGAUCAAGUUCCGCACUUGUCUAUCAUUCGUGACAUGCAUAGGAGGAGUAUCCGGAGCCAUCUGUUGUAAAAUGACGUCUGGUAAGGAAUAUGUUAGCACCACCUUCUCGAUUUUCUUGUCCAUACCAUAAUCUUCUAGUGCCAUUUCAAGAAGUUCACCAUGUG